AGAGUUUGAUCCUGGCUCAGGAUGAACGCUGGCGGCGUGCUUAACACAUGCAAGUCGAACGGAACUGUUUAGAUGAAGUUUUCGGAUGGAUUUUAAACAGUUUAGUGGCGGACGGGUGAGUAACGCGUGGGUAACCUGCCUCACACUGGGGGAUAACAGUUAGAAAUAGCUGCUAAUACCGCAUAAGCGCACAGUUCCGCAUGGGACAGUGUGAAAAACUCCGGUGGUGUGAGAUGGACCCGCGUCUGAUUAGCCAGUUGGCGGGGUAACGGCCCACCAAAGCGACGAUCAGUAGCCGGCCUGAGAGGGUGAACGGCCACAUUGGGACUGAGACACGGCCCAAACUCCUACGGGAGGCAGCAGUGGGGAAUAUUGCACAAUGGGGGAAACCCUGAUGCAGCGACGCCGCGUGAGUGAAGAAGUAUUUCGGUAUGUAAAGCUCUAUCAGCAGGGAAGAAAGUGACGGUACCUGAAUAAGAAGCCCCGGCUAACUACGUGCCAGCAGCCGCGGUAAUACGUAGGGGGCAAGCGUUAUCCGGAUUUACUGGGUGUAAAGGGAGUGUAGACGGCAAGGCAAGUCUGAAGUGAAAGCCCGGUGCUUAACGCCGGGACUGCUUUGGAAACUGCUUAGCUGGAGUGCCGGAGAGGUAAGCGGAAUUCCUAGUGUAGCGGUGAAAUGCGUAGAUAUUAGGAAGAACACCAGUGGCGAAGGCGGCUUACUGGACGGUAACUGACGUUGAGGCUCGAAAGCGUGGGGAGCAAACAGGAUAAGAUACCCUGGUAGUCCACGCCGUAAACGAUGA
rnacentral:rRNA from 1 species